rnacentral:rRNA from 1 species
CAUGCAAGUCGAACGCGGUUACCCCGCAAGGGGUGAAUGAGUGGCAAACGGGUGAGUAGCGCGUGGGUGACCUGCCUUCGAGUGGGGGAUAACGUUUCGAAAGGAACGCUAAUACCGCAUGACAUCCUGCCUUUGGACAGGCGGAGAUCAAACCUGGGGAUCGCAAGACCUGGCGCUUGAAGAGGGGCCCGCGUCCGAUUAGCUAGUUGGUGGGGUAACGGCUCACCAAGGCGACGAUCGGUAGCCGGCCUGAGAGGGCGGACGGCCACACUGGGACUGAGAC